GACAAACGCUGGCGGCGUGGAUUAGGCAUGCAAGUCGCGCGACGCAGAGGGGCAACCCUUUGACGGAGCGGCGAACGGGUGAGUAACACGUGAACAACCUGUCCCUACGUUCCGGAUAAUUGACCGAAAGGUCUUGUAAUACGGGGGAGGGUCCAUCGGAGGCAUCUUCAGGUGGAAGGAACGUGCAGGAGCAAUUCUGUGCGGCGCGGGGAGGGGUUCGCGGAUUAUCAGCUUGUUGGNGAGGUAAUGGCUCACCAAGGCGACGACGAUUAGCUGGUCUGAGAGGAUGGUCAGCCACAUUGGAACUGAGACACUGUCCAGACUCCUACGGGAGGCUGCAGUCGAGAAUCUUGGGCAAUGCACGAAAGUGUGACCCAGCGACGCCGCGUGGAGGACGAAGGCCCUUGGGUCGUAAACUCCUUUUACGAGAGAAGAAUGAGCCGCAAGGCUUUUGACGGUAUCUCGUGAAUAAGCCACGGCUAACUACGUGCCAGCCGCCG
rnacentral:rRNA from 1 species